rnacentral:rRNA from 1 species
CAUGAAGCUGGAAUCGCUAGUAAUCGCAGAUCAGAAUGCUGCGGUGGAAUACGUUCCCGGGUCUUGUACACACCGCCCGUCACACCAUGGGAGUUGGAAAUGCCCGAAGCCAGUGACCCAACCGUAAGGAGGGAGCUGUCGAAGGUGGAGCCGAUGACUGGGGUGAAGUCGUAACAAGGUAGC